GAUGAACUCUAGCGGCAGGCCUAACACAUGCAAGUCGAGGGGCAGCAUAAAAUAAACUUGUUUAUUUGGUGGCGACCGGCGCACGGGUGCGUAACGCGUAUGCAACCUACCUUACACAGGGGGAUAGCCCGGAGAAAUUCGGAUUAAUACCCCAUAGCACUAUCGGAUGGCAUCAUUUGAUAUUUAAAGCUUUGGCGGUGUAAGAUGGGCAUGCGUCCUAUUAGCUAGUUGGUGAGGUAACGGCUCACCAAGGCUACGAUAGGUAGGGGGCCUGAGAGGGUGGUCCCCCACACUGGUACUGAGACACGGACCAGACUCCUACGGGAGGCAGCAGUGAGGAAUAUUGGUCAAUGGGCGCAAGCCUGAACCAGCCAUGCCGCGUGAAGGAUGAGGUUCUAUGGAUUGUAAACUUCUUUUAUUUGGGAAUAAACCCCUUUACGUGUAGAGGGCUGAAGGUACCAAAUGAAUAAGCACCGGCUAACUUCGUGCCAGCAGCCGCCGCGGUAA
rnacentral:rRNA from 1 species